AAAAGUCACAUCCAAUUCAUUCAUUUAUAUUUUUUUUUUUUUAUAUGCAUAUUUUGUAUUUAUAUGUUUAUUUACUUUAUUAAUUUACGAAUUUUAAUCAUUUUGAUAAUUAUGUUUUUAUUUUAUUAUUUUAUUAGACAUAUUUUGAUGUUCAGUACAAUUAUUUGCUAAUCGAAAGAAAAAAAAAACAAACCAAAAGUUUCUAGAUAUAAGUUUACAUAGUUAUUAUAUUAAUAAAUAUUUGAAUAACUAAUCUUUUUACUCAAAAUUUAAAUGUAUUCACCUUUAAUAGGCUGAAAUUUAGUCCAAAAAUCUUUAAAUUAAUCGUAAUUAAUUUUUAUUCUCCAGGAACACUUGAAUCAGCAUCAAAUCAAUAAGGCUGAAUUAAGCUACAAAUUAACAUCGAAAGAAAAGAAGUCAAUAUUUUUGCUUAUGUAUAUAUUGUACAUACUUUAAUGUUUUAGAUUAGUCCCAGUUAGAUUUUUAAUGUUUUAAUUUUUUCCUAAAAUUGGGUCUUUAUUGUAGUGUGAUUAGGUUCUGGGAUGAGCUAAAAUAAUUAUAGUUUUACUGUUUUUUUAGUUAUUAUAUUGUUGUUUCAUUCCAGUAUUUUGAAGGAAGUAGGUAGUACACAUUGGUUUCCUCAUCUAUUCUUUUCAGUUUUUUUUUUUGAAGUUUUUGGGUUUUGUGAACAAUUGGUUAAAUGAUCUUUCAUGUUCAAAUGAUGUCAUUGUCCAUGGAGUCUCUUUUAAUGCCUUCCCCUUCGGCCCCCCCCCAAAAAAAAAAAAAAAAAACAUAAUUUCCUCUAUAAUUAUAAGUUAAGAUUAGUUUAAAUAAGAUAAUCAAAUUAUCUUAUCAAUUAUUUUAAUUGAUAUUGCAUGUAUUUUAAUAUUUAAGAAUAAACAUUAAUUUUAAUAUGUAAUAUAAAAAUACUUUGAUAAUUAUUAUUAUCCUUUAUUAAUACCAAUGUUAGAUAAAAAAAAAAAAAAGCAGUGAUUGAUUUAAAAUCAUACUUUAUAGGAUACUCUUAAAUUAUUGUUGUACAACCACUUAAAUUAUCCAUUUUACGGGUUGUCUUUUCUCCAUCUCUCACAAAUAUGAUAAAAACAAAUUAACAAUUUUCUAUAAUAAAAUAUUAUGUUCUACUUUAUGUAACUAGUGUGUGUUGAAAUGGCUUUGUAACUACAAUAGGCUAACUAUUAAUUAGCAAAUAUAUUAUUAUGUACUUAAGAAUUUUACUCACUCAUUAAAGAAUUAUUGUAUUAUUAAUGUACAUCCUGUUUUUUUUUUUUUUUUUUUCAUAAUUUUAUCAACUAUGAUUGAUACAGAAUUAUUUUACUUGAUUUAUGAAUAAAUUUAUUAAUG